rnacentral:rRNA from 1 species
GAUGAACGCUGGCGGCGUGCUUAACACAUGCAAGUCGAACGAAGCACUUUAUUUGAUUUCCUUCGGGACUGAUUAUUUUGUGACUGAGUGGCGGACGGGUGAGUAACGCGUGGGUAACCUGCCUUGUACAGGGGGAUAACAGUUGGAAACGGCUGCUAAUACCGCAUAAGCGCACAGCAUCGCAUGAUGCAGUGUGAAAAACUCCGGUGGUAUAAGAUGGACCCGCGUUGGAUUAGCUAGUUGGUGAGGUAACGGCCCACCAAGGCGACGAUCCAUAGCCGACCUGAGAGGGUGACCGGCCACAUUGGGACUGAGACACGGCCCAAACUCCUACGGGAGGCAGCAGUGGGGAAUAUUGCACAAUGGGCGAAAGCCUGAUGCAGCGACGCCGCGUGAGCGAAGAAGUAUUUCGGUAUGUAAAGCUCUAUCAGCAGGGAAGAUAAUGACGGUACCUGACUAAGAAGCACCGGCCAAAUACGUG